AGUUAUGAACGCGCUGACAGCUGGUUGCGGGGGCUUUGGAUUAAAGGUAAUACUGUUGUAAGUAAAGGCCCUGCUGCCCCUGUCGGCCCACCGCUGCUGUCAGACAACAUCUCCAAGAUGCUAUAAACCGCAGGACUAGAUGUCAAUCCCAAGGUUUCUAGAGAUCUCCAGACUGAAUCCAAACUCACUUAUGAAGACUUCAGAUGAUGCCAACGCUCACAAAGGCUACAGACGACGGUGACUGUACAAGAACACACAAAACAUUAGACACACAAAACAAAUAUUAUCCUUAUUUUGCCUAUAAGAGUAAAUUGAAUGAUUUUCAAUCUGCUUUAUUGCAACAUCUCUAAUAUCUGUAAAUGACCAGUAUUUACUCUUUCUGAGUUAUGUGUACCUACAUGUCCAAUUUUAUUUGUAAGCAGCACUCUGCAGGAUGAGGAGUUUUGACAAAAUGACACAAUGCAGCAUCUAAAUGAAAACAUGCUGUUUUGCAUCAGUUUUGCUGACAAAUAAACGGUAUCUUGGAGAAAGAAUAAACAUUGUUCUUUUACAAAUGUUACCAACAAUAUAACAAUACAAAAUGGAUUGAACAUUUUUUAACUUACCCUUUAAAAUUGUUGAAAGAUAAUGUUAAUGUGAACUGAACACAAAACUAGAGACUUGUUUAGUAAGAUUUGAUCAGAAAAUAUUUUAGAAUUUUUAUCAUGCAAUUUAAAACAUUUUAAUUGCUUAUU